CGUCAAGCCAAUUUUACAUGUGAACGCUACAAGUAACAUUUUGUGGAACAUUUUGUUCCAGGAACAUUUGUUCCGGAAUAAUGUUCCGCCGAACAUCGCUAGUGUGAACAUGGUAUUACAGUCCAAAUUAAAUCGAAAAGGAAAUGGGGAAAAGAUAAGCUUAGAAAAUCUAGUAAAUAUAUGGAGUGUUUUACGAGAUACCAGCGACGUGGAAGAAAAUGUUGACGGCAAUGCAGAAAUAUAGUUUCUUAUGUAUAUUUUUGUGAAAUAAAAAUUAAGUAAUGUUAGUUAAAA